CAGCUAGUGAAAAAUUUCGCCUUCUUCGUUGAUCGUUCCAUCACUCCAGAGAGCUAAUAAAAGCAAGGUGCGGUUAAAGAAAGGCUCACUAAAGAUUCUGCAAAUUUACAGAAAGAUGUGAAUGAUGCUUUAUUCAUAGAAGGAACAUCGAUAUAAUCUGAGCUGAUCUCUUUCCAUACGAAUCAAGAAGAGCAAACAGGUGAAAGUUGUUGAUUCAUGUUUGUGUGCAGAAUUGAGAAGUUAGACAAUCAUCCAAAAAGCCUCAUUACUUUCCCUCCUUUUGAAGGCAUAUUCAAAUUCGACGAACCCGAAGUCACACUCGUUUGAUGUAACUUAUGUCAUCAAGAAAUAGACGGUAACUACAGGUUCACCAAAGCUGGAACAUGCCCAUCAUUUAGGCUUUGUAAGAUAGAGGAUACAUGCGGAGUCAAGUACCUGUACAAUGUUGUUACCAAAGUAGAAUGGGUGAGCGCCGCUGAGACCAAACUUCCGAUCUCUGCUUUGAUUUGUACAUAUAUCAAUCACACACACAUGUACAUAUGCAAAAUAUAAUUCUGAGCGCAUAUUCUUUGCCACUAAUUAGCCGGUUCCGAGCUUGUAUGAGCACUUGCUGGUUCAAGGUGUUGUGUACUGCGUACCAGUUUAUGUUCUCCUGCUGCAGCAAGUUGCUCUUCUGAAAAAUGGGAACAUAUGACCGCCGAAGCAUGUAUGAUACAUCACUUCGGUUUCUUACCAAAGAGAGGAGAUCAUGUGAUAAGCCAAGAGCCAUUCAAAGAUGUAUGCAUAAAGUGCAUCCACAGUUAGACAUGACAUUCACUCCAAUCGACAUGAUCGACAAGACUAAUCGCCAUGCAAGAAGUGCGCAUGACCUGUGCCCUCAUCGAUCGACAAG
rnacentral:lncRNA from 1 species